AGAUGGCGACCGGCGCACGGGUGAGUAACACGUAUCCAACCUGCCGAUAACUCGGGGAUAGCCUUUCGAAAGAAAGAUUAAUACCCGAUGGCAUAAUUAGACCGCAUGGUCUUAUUAUUAAAGAAUUUCGGUUAUCGAUGGGGAUGCGUUCCAUUAGGCAGUUGGUGAGGUAACGGCUCACCAAACCUUCGAUGGAUAGGGGUUCUGAGAGGAAGGUCCCCCACGUUGGAACUGAGACACGGUCCAA
rnacentral:rRNA from 1 species